UGAGACAUAACAUUAUGGGACCUUGGAAGCCAAUCUGAAGCCAUGGAAUGUACCUUCAGAGAAGAAAGUACUUACUCAAUAUGUCACUUGCAUACAGAACUGCCUUGAUGAUGAGGAGGACCAGGAGACCAAUCAAUGCCACAGCUGCCAGAGAUCCUCCUACGAUGGCUGCUAUGUUUGGCCCUUCAGGACAUUCUAACACAAGAAACGUAAAGGCUACAGUGCAGUUCUUCUCAAAUGGACCGGUCCCAAAGGCCAAACAUUCAACACAACUCCUGCAGCAGCCGCCACAGACGACUUUACCAUUUCCCCCACAAUGAGGAUGGGGUUGUUUGGAAUCAUUACAUUCACACUCGCA